AGCGCCGAUGUCAUGGAUAGGCUCCGAGGGGCGCCGGGGUUUGGCGGCUCCUGGCGCUCGCCUCGCCGACCGCCAUGUCACAGCCGAGAGAGGAGGCGGGGGCGGCCGCGGAGAGGGGAUUUUUUUUGUUGUUGUUGUUUUGUUUUGUUUUUUUUUUGUCCCCUCCACAAGGUCAAGAUGUAAGAACUUUCAGCUCCUUUUCCAGCACCAUGUCUGCCUGUAUGCUGCCUUGCUUCCUGCCAUGACGAUAAUGGACUAAACCUCUGAACUUGCUGCAACUUGAACUAAGGGCUUCGUGUCCUGCCACUGAGCUGUACUCCCAGCCCUCGAGUGUUUUAUUUGUGAUCCUCACAAUAACUUUUUAAGAAGGAAGAGGAGUCCCAUGGAGUUGCCUCUAUAAACAAGUCAGCUGGCUGCCAUAUGUGAGGACCUGUGCUCGGGUCAAAAGAGGGAAGCAGGAUUUGAUUUCUCCAUUCAAGCAUUCCUGUGAGCAGUGUGCUGAGGGGAACAAUGGCAUGAACUCCUGUGAGCUUUAGAAAACAAAGGACAUGCACGUCUUGUUUCUCCCGACAAAUAGCCACAGGUGUGUUUUCUGCAGAAGCAUCCCAGUGUCCCUGGAUGUCAGGAACAAGGUAUGGCAUCUCUUGUGCCACUGAAACUCUAGCAGGUGUGAAGUGGCCCUAACUUCUGCAUGGGUUGCAGUUGUGCUGAAGGAGGGGGCAGCCUCUUAGUGGCUCCACUCUGGAUCAUCCUCUGAGCCUCCUCUAGCCUCCAAUUCUGUAAGCACACAGUUCCCGGUAGGAAAUCCCCUCUGCCUAAAAUAGCUAAGUGGGCAGGUAAGAUGGCUCAGUUACAAAGGCACUUGCUGCCAAGGCUGGUGACCUGGGUUGGAUCCUGGGACCUCUGUGGCGGACGGAGACAACCAACUCCCUGAGUGCUCCAUCCUUGUGUGUGCCAUGGCAUGCACGUGUGCACACACACAGGGAAGUAAGUGAAUGAUUAAAAAGUAAUACAGCUAGAAUGGUUUCUCUCUUCUGUAACUUCUAACUGGUAGGGAAAUUAAAACUAUACCUAUAAUGUUUUCUUCCUUUUAAAAAAUCGGAGGCAAAUACGGCAACAUGUUAAAAUCAGUGUAAUGGGACCGUGGGUGUCAUUUGUUUCAUAUUGUAAAAAGUUCAAUGUUAUGACUGAAGUCUGUAUAUAUGCCUAAUUUUAAUAGAUUUUUGCUGAUGUUUUUACCCAAAAGUAAUUUUAAAAUUCUUAAAGUCUUAUAUAAUAUGACUUAAAUAAAACUUUAAAAAAAUCAUAAACUCUCAACUACAUUUCUAAAAUUAGAAUGUUUAGGGAAUUUCUAUCUUAUAUUUUCAUAAAUAUCGAGCAAAUGAGGCCUCUAAAAAUAUACUUUCAGCUGAGAUUCAUUUCUUUAUUAUUUAUAUUAAAUCUUUUUAUACACAAAGUUGCUUCAUUGUUAUAAAAGAUGAUUACUCAUUUGAUAAAGAAAUGUUAAGGCCUUGAUAAUUAUACUGACUAAUUUUAGGUCAACUUGACACAAACUAGAGUCAUCGGAGAGGAGGGAGCCUAAACUGAGAAAAUAUCUUCCUAAGUUCUGGCUGUAGGCAAGCUUGUGAGGCAUCUUCUUAAUUAGUGACUGAUGGGGGAGGGUCCAGCCCAUUGUGGGUGCUGGCACCCCUGGGCUGGUCGUCCUGGGUUCUAUAAGAAAGCAGGCUGAGCAAGCCACAAGAAGCAAGCCAGUAAGCAGCUCCCCUCCAUGGCCUCUGCAUCAGCUCCUGCCUCCAGGUUCCUGCCCUGUUUGAGUUCCUGUCCUGACUUCCUUUGAUGAAGAACAGUAACAUGGUAGCACAAGCCAAAUAAAUCCUUUCCUCCCCAAGUUGCUUUGGUCAUGGUGUUUCGUCUCAGCAACAGUAACCAUAACUAAGACAAUCAUGCUCAAAAACUCACAUAUAAAUUUAUAGGAGUGUGUCUUGCUAUGAAGUCCCAUGUUACUUAGUUCCCUUAUUUAAACUGUGUAUUUUGGAAAGUGAAGGGUCUGUCUGGAAGGAACUACAGAGACUUGUGGGCCUUGCGGUGAGGAGAAGCAGACUUGGGUCUUGUUUGCCACUCUUAAUAAAACUGACUUUUCUUUUUUCCCUUUGAAUAAAAUUUUUUGGCUAAUUGCCAAUUUCUUUAUCUCUGAAAAACCCACUUUAAUAGGAUUUUCAGAUGUGAUUCUGGUCUAUAAAAACAGAAUGCAGUUUUACUUUGCGUGCUAUGUGAAAGUUGUACUUGAAAAGAAGCAAACAUUUCAUAUUCUUUCUUUCCAAUUUUGUUCUAAAACAGGAAACUCCACUUGCUCCUGUGUAUUUUAGACACACAAGAGAAAAGGUAACCUUGAAGAAGAAUUUGAAAAAUAAAAACGGUAAGAAGAAAAACCACUAAGGGAUGGACUCAAGUACAGUGUGAGCCUGCGCCCUGAGGGUGGGUUGGCGGUGCAUGGUCCUUAGUGUGGCAGCACGUUGGAAAGAGCUGGGGAACCUUUGAGAUGGGCUUGACUUCAGGUCAGGUCUGGUGAGAACUGAAAUAGAAGAACAAGCCCAAAGUUUGGCACAGUAGUGCAUGCUCUUUAGGAGACUAACUCAGGACGGUAACAAAUUUGAAGCCAGCAAGGGUGACAGAGAGAGUUUGAAGCCAGGUUGAACUACUGUGUUAGAAUCUGUAUUAAAAAAAAUUAAUUGCAGCCGGGCGGUGGUGGUGGCGGCGGCGGCGGCGGCGGCGGCGCGCACGCCUUUAAUCCCAGCACUCGGGAGGCAGAGGCAGGCGGAUCUCUGUGAGUUCGAGGCCAGCCUGGACUACCAAGUGAGUUCCAGGAAAGGCGCAAAGCUACACAGAGAAACCCUGUCUCGAAAAACAAAACAAAACAAAACAAAACAAAAAAUUAAUUGCUAGGCGGUGGCUCACGCCUUUAAUCCCAGCACUCGGGAGGCAGAGGCAGGCGGAUCUCUGAGUUUCAGGCCAGCCUGGUCUCCAGAGUGAGUUCCAGGACGGGCUCCAAAGCUACACAGAGAAAUCUGUUUCGAAAAACAAAAACAAAAAAAGGAAAGAGGGGAAGCCUGGUUCCCUCCUUGGCUUCUCUCUCUUCAUAUCAUGCCAUCUUACCCUCUACCUCACACUCCUGUGUGAUGCUAUCUGCCAUGAAGGUGACAUAGCCAGGAGGGCCCCUUAUCUUGGACCUUUGAGCUAAUGAAAUAUUUUUUGUCUGUCAAGCACCCAGCUUCAAAGACCUUGUUAUACCAGCGGGAAAUGGACCAAAGCACAGGGUUAGUUAAGACAAACUUUUGAAAACACAGCAUUAUUUUUCUGGAAGAAGCAGAGGAGGGAUCAGUUUGUAUGGAUGGUUUUAUCGCAAAAGAAAUAACUAGGAACCAGAUGUGAUGGUGCUAAGAGAGCCUUGUCAACCACUUUCUCCAGGCCUCUGACCUGAAAGUUUAUACUGGGUAUUUCACUGUGUGGCUGCGCUGACCUAGGGUCAGGCCUACAGACGCUCGCCAUGCGUCUUUGUCACCCUGACAAUCCG